rnacentral:lncRNA from 1 species
AAUGGGUGUUGAGGCAAGGACUGAGCCAAGCAAGGCAGUUGAGGGGAAGAUCUGUGAGGUUCCGAGCACCCUGUUCAAAGGGUUGUGCAUUUCAUCUAACAACUGUAAACACACCUGCAGAAAGGAGCAAUUCACCAGAGGCCAUUGUAGUGUCUUCACCCGUGCUUGCGUGUGCACCAAAAAGUGCUAAUUGAUUAGUUAAAAAGAAAUGUAAUCUGUGUAGAGAACGUGCUUGUGUAAUGUGAUGGAUUGAUAUGGCCCUGUAUCCACAUGGUUGCUUUUGCUAAUAAAUUGAAUGACCCUGCAUGGAUCAUUAUUCAUAUGUCUAGUGUAGUGUUUUCAUUACGCCUGACGUACUUUUAGUUGCCUAUUAUCCUAUAUGUUUUUCUUCAGGAUUAUUAUUAACAUUCUGGAUAGUCACCACAUACUCUUCUUUUGUUUAAUGACUUUCAAUUAAGAAAGAGUGCGCGAUAAUUAUCGUGAAAUGCUAAUAACAAUUUUUUCUUUUUUUCCAUUUUGACAAAGCAUUUUGUUGAAAAUUUUCACUUUGUGUACUUGGAUUCAACACAUUACUUUAAUUUGUGUCACAAAGAUUAUUUAAAUCACAUUGCCAAUUUCAUAUGUACCUUUUUGUCCACACCUUCUGUUGUAUUAAGUUCUUUUGCCUUUUAAACCAGUGGUAAUAAACGUAACACAAGGUGAGGUUGAUGCACAAGAAAAAAAAUUAGAAGAAGGUUCGAAAUUGCUUAACCAACUUUUAAGCAAAGACUUAAUUAUUUAUUUUUAUUUUAUUUUAUUAUAGAAGAAAUAGUCCUUAAAGAUUAAUAUUUUCUUGAUAACAUUUAAAUGACUCUUCCACAUUUUUUUUCUUAAACACUUUCAUAUUUUUCGGUCACUUUUCUGCAUAGUAUGUGAGGUCUUGCCAAGGACGGAGCCACCUUGGGCCCAUGGGGUGUAUGCCCUAACCCAGUUGUUUGUGAAAAAAUUGUACAUAUAUCAUAUAAUAAUUUCACGUGAUAAAGCAUUUUCAGAUAUGAAAUUUCUAAAUGAUCAAUUGAGAAAUCGUAAGAAAAUAAUGGAUUUAUGAUAACAUGAUUAUUUUUAUAGGAAGAGAUAUUUGAUAAUGAAAUUGUUAUGCAACACUUUCAAAACUUGAAAAUGCAUCAUGAGAUAUUGUAAUAUGUUGUAUGAUAUAUUUUAUGGAUUAGUGUAUGUGCAUUGUUAGUAAAUUCUUAAGCUUUUUAAUUUGUGACUUUAUUUUUUAGGAUGUCCCGAUUCAUAUAGAUCUCAGACUUCUUCCAUGAUGUAUUAGUAUGAAUUUACAAGAGCUUAUAUAUAAUAUAUAUCAAUUGUAUCAUUCUAAGUUACCCUAAUUAAGUUUGAAAUCUUAAGUGUAAACUUGUUACAGAUACAUAAAAAACAUUUCAUGCGUUUUCUCCCAACUAUAUGCUUCUUCCUGUUGCUUUUGGUGGCCACCAGUAGUAUUUCUUCUUGCUCGAUCUUGUUAACUAACUUCAUGGUUAAUAUAUAUAUAUAUAUAUAUAUAUAUAUAUAUAUAUAUAUUAUGAUUAUAAGCAUGCAUAGUAACCAUAUUUUGUUUGGAAUAAUUGUUUAUUAGGACGGCAGUUGCUGAGGGUAGGACAUGCGAGUCAGAGUAACCGCUUCAAUGGAACUUGGGUGAGUAAGAGUAACUGUGCAGUUGUUUGCCAAACUAAGGGCUUCCUCGGUGGCUGGUGCUUGGGUUUACGCUGUAGAUGCUUUUGCACACAAAACUGUUAAUUAGCUAAUUAAUUAAGCCAGUGAUGACCUGAUCACUUAUCACUUACUUAUUAGUGGGUGCAUGGACGCACGUACUUUGGUACUAGUGUGGAACUAGCUCAAAUAAUUCACGGUUAGGUUGUUAAUUAAUAUCGUAUCUCUGUUAUGGUUUUUAAUUUUCUUGUUUGUUAUGCAUCAUCGUCAUGAGUUACUUUGUACAAGAUGUCGUACUGUGUAACUUCUUUAUGGGUUAAUAUCAGUUUACUACCCUGAAGUUUUUUUGUUUUCAACAUUACACACAGGCGAAGGCAUAUUAGGACUAGAGUAGUCCUAGGCCUAUCCUCACUUGUAAAAAUAAUUACACCUUGCUUUGCAACCCUUCUCAACACGUGAACCAAAUCCAAUCAUUAUCUAUUUUUAAUCCAACAAAUUCCAUCCCAAAAUUAAGUAUAAUAUUUUGAAUCAUCAUUUAUCACAAAUCAAUAACAUUCAAAUUAAACUCAUCAUUCACUUUUAAUUAACAAAAGUUGUUUUUCACUUAUGCACUGCCAGGGCUAUUUCCCUAUUCUUCUUGAAUUUCAUAUAUUUAACCAUUCCAAAUUCCAAAUUUAUUGAAUGAAGAACAAUAAGGUUUGUUAAACUCUAUUAUCCUCUAUAAAACAUUUGUUUCUAUUCUAUCCUACCUCUUACUUUGAGUUUUAGGGUUUGCAAAUUUUUAGUAAUUCUCUCUAUUGAGUUUCUUUCAAUAGUAUAGAUGACAUCAUGCGCAACGGUCUCAAAAUAUGAAAUUCAUAUUAUCUAUGGAUAUGUUAAUUUUGACUAUUUAAUUAUUUGGAUAUAUAUUGUGAUGUUUUGCAUUUGUAAUUUUAUAAUCACUAUUCAAAUUUUAUUCUUCUAUACUUGUGUGAGGCCCCUCCUCACAAGAAAUCCUAGCUCCGCCAUUGACAUUACAUACAUCAAGUUUUUUUCGUCCCAAUCUAGAUAAUUAAUUUUGGGACAUUGUCAUACAUCUUCCUCAUGAAUUCAUAGAGCAUUGUAUAAAGAAUGUUCAAGGGUGCUUCAUCUAAACUACUGAAGGUUGAUACAAUGGAUUAUGAAUCUUCUAAUUUUAUUUUAUUUUAUUUUAUAUUAUUUUUUUCUUCUGAUAAAGGAUAACGUUGGUAGGUUAAAUAGAUAGUUGUUAGGGGGGAAGGGAUUCAGCAGGGAUCGAACUUACACCAUACAUGAUUUCUUUUUGGUACUACAGUAAAGCGUCAUCCGCCAGUAUGUUAGAUGCUUGCUGAUGAAAUGAUUGCUGUAAAUUUGUUGCAUUCACCGAAGAAAAGACAACCGAUGCCCCGUCCAUCGUAUUAUCUUACAUUUACAUAUAAGUCAUUCACUUGUUACUAAACAUUUUACACAAAUUGUAGAACCGGUUGCACAUAACCCAACCUAAUAGUGCUAUAUGUUGCCGUUUAAUUGUAUUAGUAAUAAUUGUUAAAGUUAAACUUAAUACCUCUCACAUAUAAAUAGAGUCGAACCAUUUAAUUGUAUUAGUAAUAAUCAUUUGGCAUUUAGAUACGAUGUUUAGUGCUACUGAUCGAGUUUUUAUAGAACAGUUUGUUAAAGAAGUCCAAACAAACAUUCCUAUAUCCAAUCCGAGUAAUGUUAGCGAGACUAAAUAAGUAAACUUAAUGACAUGGAAGUUGAUAAGUUGAUUAUUACUUAAACGUUGAUAAAUGUGCUCAUUUUCUAUUAGUGACACAUCAUUUAGUUUACAAAUUUUUAAAACUAAAUUUGCAAACUGAAUGAUGUGAUUGUAGAUGAUUGAAUUAUUAAUUAAAUGUCGAUUAAUGUGCUUAUUUCUUAUUGGUGUGGUUUAAAAAAUUUGGUCUCCCUAGUAUUAGUCAUACUCUAUCCAAUCCUAUAAUCUGUGUGUGGGGUCCAUCGUCUACCUGAGUAAGAAAAACCCCGCUUUAACCAAUUCAACGAUGUGGUACCUCAGCAGAACACCUUCUUUAGUUUCAAAUGCCAAACCAACUGAUCUAACCCUCAUUCCGUUGCACAAUUCCAUCUUCACAUUUUCUGAUUCUAGCCUUUUCGAUGAAAUUUGCAUUGUUGAAAUCCGAAAAAAUCCCCAUUGUUGAAAUCCGAAAAAAUCCCCUCAUUGAUCAUGAAAACAACAAGAAACAAGCGGAGACAACAUAUUCAUUUCCAUCAUGGGAAUGAUUUGCCUACCAAUGCACUCCAACCCAAUUCCAUUCCGUGGUAGUCCCUCGGGCUCUAUCCGAAUUGGGGUACAGAAUCCAAGUGAUCGGAGUCUUUUGGGAACAAUUCUUGUGUGCCAAGCUUGCGGAGUGUCCUGAUCAGCCUUAUGCCAGUCUGUGUACCUAUUCAUGCAGUGACAGUUUACUUCAUGAUGUCCCUAAAAUGAACUGCGAGGAUCGGAAUCCAUUUGGCGCUGCCUGUGCCCUUCUUGAUGGUACGUGGUUCUAUGUUGCCCGAGGCUAUAAGGGCAACCCUUCUAGUAAGCACUGCUAUAAUAAGAUGCAUCAUUUCCUAAUUUUAUGAAAUGGUUUAAUGUGUAUGUUUCAGUAUGUUUGGUGUUUUGUGUGUGGCUUGGUCAUGGAAAUAUAUCAAAAUCAAAUCAAAACUCGAAAGAUCAAUUACCCAAUUAGGGUUUUUGAUGUGUACUAGAACAAGCAAUUUUCAAUUUUAGCCAUUAUCAGUGAAAAAACACAAAUAUGUAAAAGACUUUUAGGCCGCUUUUCUAGAUUUAGAAAUAUAGCCACUCGAGGACUCAGCUGAAAAUGUGCACAUUGGCACAAUGAUCGCUUUUCUUGUAGAACUAACUCGAUGAUCAUAUGCAAAUAUUGACCCUUCAUCUUACUUAAACUCGGCUGAACGUCUGAACCUGAAGACAUGGAAGUGGCAAGCACUGCAAAACAUGCAAAAUCCACGAGCCUUUGCAUCAGGAUUCACUCACAAAGGCAGGUUCUUCUUGGUCGGUGGCAGCAAAGCCCUCGAGUACUCAGCUAAAAUCUACAACCCCAGCACCAACUCUUGGGUGUUUCUCAAGUCAUUUGUGCCCAAGGAGGCAGAAGGGUUCACCAUAGCAUCGCUUAACGGGCGGUUGAUGAUACUGACUUGGUCAGAUCAGUUAGGUGUGAAGCUAUGGCUGUGGACAUUACUGGCUAAUAAUCCAAAUUCGAUAUGUAGAUGCAGAUUAAUCAGUUUUUUACCAAACCAAAUCAUCGAGAGGUCGUGGAUAAGGGCGCAUGGGGCGAGGAUGGUUCCGGUUGGAGGGAAGGAGGUGUGGGUUUUUGUGGGAGAGAGGGAAAAAUUUUGGCUUGAGGUUGAUGGAUCAAAUGCAUGGCCAGUGUUUCCAGCACCAGCCUUUGGGCCUGGAAAUGGGAAUGAAAUUGUGCAGAAAGGUCAUAUUUAUGCCUUUUCUUUCAGUCGUGGGGUUAGAGUACUAAGUUGGAGAACAAUCCCUAUUUACUCAGUUUUUGAGAAAAAAUUUCAAUUUUCUGUUCUUUUCCCCCAAGAAGAUUGUAGAACAAUGAUGAUGUUGCAUGUUUUCUACUAAUGCAUGCACAAAAGAGUUUAUGCUAUAAAGACAAAAAAUUGGUGUCUGUGAGUUACGCAGAACUGCAUAAACCCUAAACUUGUCAGAAUCUGUAAAAGUUUGGUAGUAAUUGCUGCAAUUCAAAACAGAGAGAAAUAACUUAGAGAGAAGAAAAUGAAGACAUAGAAGGAGAGUGAUCAAAAUCUUAGAGAGAGCCAAUGUGCUCUUCUACGUGCAUUUUCAUUUUAUCACAACAGAACAAAAAAUAACCGUUAGAGAGGGAGAGAAUCUAUGAGAGCCUAUGAGCUCAUCUAGCCCUUCAUUACAAGAACCUAUGAGAUCUUGCCACUUGCUCACAUCUGAGCCUAAUACAUUAAGAGCUAAUCUCAACCCUUGAUUUCUAACAGCUCAUUUCACAAAGACUAACGUCUUGAUAAAAUAAAGAAAAUGACAGUUUAGACCUUAAUCAACCAACACUCCCUUCUAAGGUCUUAAUUGAAAUUACUCCAAGCUUGUCUCCCAAGGCACAUAACAUGUCUUUAGCUAAAGCCUUGGUGAAAAUAUCAGCUAGUCAGAAUUGCAGAUUAAUUAUUCCUUCCUAAAUUGCAUCUUUGAUGAAGUGAAACUUCCUUUUAAUGUGCUUAGACCUCUGGUGGAACACAAGGUUCUUUGACAUGGCAAUGGCAGAUGUGUUGUCACACAUCAAGGUAGUAAGCUCAAUCUGUUCUUCAUCAAAAUCAUGCAGCACAAAUCUAUCCAUAUGGCUUGAGUUGUAGCUUCAGAGGCACUCAUAUAUUCAGCUUCUGCUGUUGAGAGUGCAACACUUUGUUGCUUCACUGAGGCCCAAAAAAAUGCACCACUUCCAAAGCUAAAAGCAUAGCCAAGAGUAGAUUUCAUGUCAUCCUCAUCUCCAUUCCAGUCACUGUCAUAAAACCUAUGAGUAGUGUUGCAUUUCCCUUCUUGUAGUUGAUUCCAUAAUCUAUAGUCCCCUGCACAUAUCUUAGAAUCCUCUUAGCAGUGCCAAAAUGCUUGGUGGAAGGGUAAUGCAUAUAUCUGGCAAGCACACAAGCUGAGUACAUGAUGUCAAAUCUUGUUGCAGUCAAAUACAAGAGGCUGCCAACAAUUUUUCCAUACAAUUCUUCAUUUGCAGGUUCACUGCCAUCAUCUUUCCUUAGCUUGUCAAUGGGAGGUAAGGGAAUAUAGACAGACUUGCAGCUUUUCAAACCAAACUUGUCAAGUAGACUUAAUGCAUAUUUCUUUUGAUGGAUGAAGAUACUCCAUUCUUAUUUAAUAACCCCAAUUCCAAGAAAGUGAUGUAACAUAACUAAAUAUGUCAUCUCAUACUUGCUCAUCAUGUCACAUUUGAAAUCCUCAAUCAUCAGUGGACAACUCCCUGUGUAAACAAUGUCAUCCACAUAUAUGGAGACAAUCAAAGUUCCAUGUCCUUCCUUAUGUUUCACAUAUAGGGUAGCUUCACUAAGACUCUUUUCAAACCCACACUGCAGCAAAUAAGUGUUAAUGUUGCUAUACCAAGCUCUGGGAGCUUGCUUCAGCCCAUACAAGGCUUUCUUCAGUUUGUACACCUUGUGUUCCUUUCCCUUGACAAUGUAACCAUCAGGUUGGUCAGUGUACACCUCUUCUUCAAGAACCUUAUUCAGAAAACCAGACUUCACAUCUAACUGAAACAAUAUCCACCCUUUCUGAGCUGCCAAUGCAAUGAUAGUCCUUAUAGUGUCCAAUCUAGCCACAUGUGCAAAAGUCUCAUUAAAAUUAACUCCAGGCUUUUGAGUGUACACUUUGGCAACUAAUCUUGCCUUGUGUUUCUGUAUAGUGUUAUCCAGAUUCAAUUUAGUCUUGAAAAUCCAUUUUACUCCAACAAUGGGUUUGUCACUUGGUCUAUUAACCAAUUCCCAUGUGCCAUUCUUCUCAAUCAUAGAGAUCUCAUCCUUCAUUGCUUUCUUCCAAACUUGAUCUUGAGAAGCUUUAUUGUAGUUUCAGGAUCAAUGACACUAAGUUUACACUGAGCAAACACCUCAUUCAAAUUCCUCAAUUUCUUUGGUGUGUUAUCAUAUGUCUCAGUGACUUGGAUUUCACACUAUUCAUUCACAGUUCUAGAAUCAACUCUGUGUACAUAAGUGGCAUUAUCAACACAUGUGUUUGGAGAUUUCAACUCAGAGGCACAUAUGUUAGACCCUUCACAGGAACCAUUUUCAAUCUCAAUUAUACUCCCACCUUCAUUUGCAUUUGAGUAGGGCAAAAGGAUAUAAAUUGUCUCCAUGUUCUCCCAAUUGAGCACAUCACCUUCAUCAAAGACAAUAUUUCUGGAAACAAUGAUUUUGUAGCUUUUCAGAUCAAACACCCUGUAGCAUUUCUCUCUUGUUCCAUAUCCAACAAACACAUAUUUCUAACCUGUUUCUUCUAGUUUAUGCCUUAGCUGAGUUAGAACAUGAGUAUAAAACACAGAACCAAAGAUUCUCAAAUGUUUUACCCUUGGUUUCCUACCACUAAACUCUUUAAAUAGAGUUUUCUUCUUUAACUCCUUGGUAGGACAUCUAUUCAAAAGAUAGACAGCAGUGUGAACUGUUUCACCCUAGAAUUUAAGAGGUAGUUUCUUUUCAUAAAGCAUGGUUCUUGCCAUCUUUACAAUGGUACGAUUCUCCCUCUCAGCAAUGCCAUUUUGCUAGGAAGAAUAAACAGCAGUUAAUUGCCUUUCAAUACCAACAUCUUCACAAAAUUUCUCAAACUGCAAUGAUGUGUACUCCCUUCCUCUGUUAAUUCUGAGUUUCUUCAACUUGAAUCCAGUUUGUAGUUUAACCAUAGCCUUGAACAUUUUGAAAAUUCUGAACACUUCAGACUUGCCCUUCAAGAAAUAAACCUAGCACAUUCUGGACUUAUCAUCAAUAAAAGUGAGGAAAUACCUGUUGCCACCAAGUGUCUCACACAUGAGUCCACAAACAUUUGAAUGAACAAGCUCAAGUAAAAGAAAUGCUCUCCAUUUCUGUUCUUUGUCAAAAGCUUCUCAAUGAGAUUUCCCAGUAACAUAACCUUCACACACUUGAUUGUGGUAUUUGAGAUAUGGUAAACCAUACAACAUGCUAUUUUCCUUCAACAUCCUCAAGCUAUCAUAAUUCAAAUGCCCAAAUCUUCUAUGCCAUUUCCAUGAGCUAUCUUUAAUAGAUGCUCUAUUUGCCAUAAUGUGAUCCACAUAUUCAAAUAUCAGAUGGAAGCAACUAAUGCACAACAGCAACAUGAUCUUGUAUCUCUUUGUCACCGAAGAUACAAGCCAUAAAGUCACCAAAAUACAAGCCAGUAUCCAUGUUCAACCAUUUGAUCCACACUGAGAAGGUUCUCAUUUAGACUAGAUACAAUCAUAACUUCUGGUAUGAACCUUGUUUCUUUCUUAGUCUCCACUACCAGAGUUCCUUUGCCAAUUGAAUUAACCAGGUCUUUUGUGCCCAUUUUCACCUUGCACCUUGUACUGCUGUCAAUAUAGAUAAGUAAUGAUUCAAUACUAGUAAUAUGGUUACUACAACCACUGUCUAGGUACCAAACUCCAUUAUUUCCAUGCACAGAAGCCUAAUGGCAAGCAUAGAACAUCAUUGCAUUAUCCUGGACAUGGUUCAAAUAGUUGGCAGCUUGAGUUUUCUUUGGUUGAUGGCAAUCCUUCACCAUAUGUCCAAGCCUGUUGCAAUUGUGACACGUGGGUUUCCUUUUGAACCAACACUCUCCAUAGUGAGCCUUAUCAUAAAUCUUGCAUUUCUGUUUACUACCAUCAGUAAUCUCACCCUGUCUCUCAGGCUGAUGAGUUUUGUUUUCCCACUUUUUGGGUUUAAACUUCCAAUUGUUUUUCCCCUUUUGUGAUUUCCCUGUAUAAAUGGUCUAUUUUGUGUAUUUUAUGCAAGACUCGUACUAAAGAAGGCAUGCUCUGAGCUUGCAACAUCAUCUCCAUGUCUACUUAACCUAAGUUCAUAGCUCUUAAGAGAUCCAAUCACCUCUUGCACAGUCACAAUAUUCAAAUCAGAAGUUCUUUCAAUCACAACACAAAUUGGAUUAUACUUACUAGAUAGGCUAAUCAAAACCGUUUGAACCUCUAUUUGGUGAGUGAGAAUCUCACCAUAAGAUUUCAUCUGAUUAAUUAAUUCAAAUAGUCUAGUAAGAUAGGUAGAUAAUGAUUCAUUUUCUUUCAUCCUCAUAUAUUCAAACUUACGAAGCAAACUUUGAAGUUUAACAUACCUUGCAUGUUCAUCGCUGCGAAAUUCCUCUAGGAGUAGAUCCCAGGCACCCUUGGAUGUCUCUUGAUUCACGAUCCAAGGGAAAAUCUCUUUAGACAUAUCGCACUGAAUGAUUCCCAGUGCUUUAGCGUAUUUCAUGAGUUGAUCCUCCAUGUGAGUAUCAAACUCAUUGUCGUCUUCUUCAUCAUCGUCCGAUGAGGGUGAGUCUUCCUCCUUCUUUGUUUUUCCUCUUUCCUUAUUCUUCUUCGAUUUUGGAGUAACAAUUCCUUAGCCUACCAGUUUCCAAAUCCCAUACGAUUUGAAAAUGGUGACCAUUCUCACUUUCCAGAAUUCAAACUUUGUUCCAUAAAAAAAUGGGAGCUCGUAAAUCGUUGCUUCCAGACCUAGCCAUUGUAACUUGAAUCAGAAUAAAAUUGAGAGAUUUCACAUUGGAUUAUCUCACAAAAUUUCACAGAAAUCGACACCUAGUCCGAAAUCGAACCUAGGCUUUGGAUACCAUGUUAGAACAUGUAAAAGUUUGGCAGUAUUUGUAGCAAUUCAAAACAGAGAGAAAGAACUUAGAGAGAAGAAAAUGAAUAGAUAGAAAGAGAGUGAUCAAAAUCUCAAAAAGAGCCAAUGUGCUUUUCUGCUUGCAUUUUCAUUUUAUCACAACAUAACAAAAAAUAACCAUUAGAAAAUGAGAGAAUCUAGGAGAGCCUAUGAGCUCAUCCAUCCCUUCAUUACAAGAACCUAUGAGAUCUUGGCACUUGCUCACAUAUGAGCCUAAUACAUUAAGAGCUAUUCUCAACCCUUGAUUUCUAACAGCUCAUUUCACAAAGACUAACAACUUGAUAAAAUUAAAAAAAUGACAGUUUAGACCUUAAUCAACCAACAAAACUUUCAUCUUUCUCAAUCUUGUAGUGUCUUUCCUUCUUCGUUAGACUAUUUAUAUUACGUGUUUGCUUAGUUGAAAUAGGGGAAGUUGCAAAUUCGAGAAAGAAAAGAAGGAAUGUGAAUGAGAUUUUCUUUUCUCUUUUGUGAAAAUAAAAUUUACAACAGGAACUCCAUCCUUAAUAAGUUCAUUUGCCACUAAGUUUGCGUCAUUGAACACAUGUCGAACUUGAACAACUUGUAACAAUGACAUAAACCCUUUCAAUACUUUCAGAAGAGUAAAAGUUCUCAAGAAAGGAAAAUGAGAAUGAGAUCAACUAGGUGGGUCGAUUUUAGUCCUCCCUGCAGUGUCAAUCAUGAAUUUUAAGACGUUUUUUGCUACGUUUUGGACACCGCUAAUACAAGUUGGGUUGAGAUCUAAAGUUAAGCGGGCAAAUUCUAAAUCAAACAUUGUAAUGAGCAAGUGAUGAUCUAAAGCAAUUACAAAGUCCAAACCUUAACCUUCUCCCUAAGUUUAGCUCACACCCUCACACAUUAUAUUACAUUAAGCAACAACUACAACUUUUAUUCAUUCAUUUAAUUCUUCUUUUUAGGGAAUGAAAAAAUAAUUAUAGCUUGAGAAAGUGUGCCAGUAACACAAGUUGAUACACUAAAUGUUACAAUACGAAUUGUUGAAUACUUGGGAAAAAAAAUUCUAACGGCUUGUAUUAUGACACUUGGUGUAUCAAACCAUAUUCACGGCACAAUCAAAGCAAAUAUUAUUAAAAAGAAAUGAAAAAUGUCACUUGCAAUUAAAGCAAAUACCAAUUUUACACAUGAACUUGAUCCACCGGCACCGCCUGAUGCAAUUGAGGCUGCAUUGCAUGGCAUCUUCCGAUGGCAUUCUCGUAAAUGUCUCAUCACUGAUAAAUAUCGUAGUACAAAACACCCCCACCAAUUUUGUCAUCAGUGUUAGUCACAGAGAGAGAGAGAGAGAGAGAGUGAGGAGAGAGAGAAAGAAGAAGAAGAUGCCGAGAAGCAGUUUCUCAGGGGCGCUUACAGGGCCGCAAGUCGACGUGGUCAUCGACUUGGGAAACCCCUUGCUCAACCACACCGUCGAUGGCUUCUUGAAGAUCGGAACCGUACGAUUUUUCAACUUUUUAUUCUUUUUUUUUAAAUUAUCUUCAACAUUUUUUUUUUUUAAAAUUUUUGUUGUUUUUUCGGUUCAGUAUUUCACUUCUGGGUUUUGAUAGUUGCAAUGGCAAGGUUUAGAAUCAAACUGUAUCGUUUUGUUGGUUUGGUUUCAGGUUGCUGCUACCAGAGCUGUUGCAGAGGAUGCUUUCUCUGCGGCCAAGAAUGGUAAUGUUAUUUAUCAUUGCGCUCCAACUGUUUGGUUCCCGAUCGAGAAACACAGAGAAAAUGAAGAGUGGGAAAGUUUUAAAUUUCAUAUGCUGAUCAUAUUGUGCUUGCAGUCUGAUGAUGAUGAUUGUAUUUAUUUGGUUUUUGAAUAAGAUUUUUGGGUUUUAUUUUAGUUUUUUUAAUUGCAUUUACUAAAAAUGUGAGGUGAUUUUUGCAGGGAGCAUUUCGACUAGCGACUUUAAGCACACUGUGAGUAACCAGCACAGUCCCUUGUUUAAUUAAUUCGGUUUUUCGAUUUUGUGCUUUCUUGUAUGAUCUGAGAUUAGUAGCUACUCUUAACCUUGUAACCGAAAACAAUAUUAGUAACUACUUUCAGUUAAUUCAGCAUGUUCAGUUGUUGCUCAAUUGAUUUUGUUUAGUGGGAUCUAUUGCUUUUUGGUGGUCUGUCUUAUACUGUGGUAAUUUGUUGAAGAGGUGAUCGGUUGUUUAUUCAUAGAAGAAGGUUGGGAUGCAACACAAUUUCCGAAUCCUGCUAAUUGAGAGUACUGUUUCUUGCAGUUGAAGAAGAUGUGUAAAGAAGGUGCAUAUUGGGGUAAGUUGAGUCGUAUUUCAUCGUGUGUUAGAUGUAUGUAUGGAUGAGAUUAUGCUCGUCCUCUGGGAAAUUGCUUCAGCUUCCUCACUUUUGCGAAUUGAGAACAGCAUCAACAAGUUCUUCUAUUGCAUUGACAGGAACUGUAGCUGGAGUGUAUGUGGGAGCAGAGUAUGGUAUCGAGAGGGUCCGUGGACACAGAGACUGGGUAUAUGUCUGUUCGAAUUCUAGAUAGCUAGUUGUACAGUACCUGUUGGCCGUAAUUUUCAUGCUCAUUCGUCCUAGUUUGCACAUGAAGCUUCUAGAUUUGGGAAAUUGUUUCAGAUUGUCUACUUGCUAAGUUAAAACUCUUAAUCUCUAUGUUCCCUAGAUCCUCCCGUUGCCAUGAUUUGUAUAAUUGUUCGUUUUCAGUAUGCGCGGGUAGCUUCUAAAAUUACAUUCAAGCAUGCCAUUUCAAGUUCCUUUUUAUUUAAUUUAAUUUCCGGACUUCGAUUGGAACUUCUGUAUCUGCUCACCCUUAUUCUUUUGAUAUCCUGCAGAAGAAUGCCAUGCUCGGGGGUGCAUUGACAGGGGCUCUAGUAUCUGCAGCCAGCAAAGAGAACAAGGAUAAAAUUCUGGUGGAUGCAAUUACAGGAGGUGCCAUUGCGACCGCUGCGGAAUUCAUCAACUAUCUCACCUGAACAUGGACGUAAUAUUCUACCCGAUCUCUCUGUAGAUCCUGGAGAACUAUGAGUAGGUUUCUCGUGUCAUCUUCCUCAUGAAUUCGUAGAGCAUUGUAUAAAGAAUGUUCAAGGGUUCAUCUAAACUACUGAAACAUACAAUGAAUUAUGAAUCUUCUGUUUUUAUCAUUCUUGAGCAAUAUGUUCGAUGCUUUUUUUUUUUUUUUUGUGACAAAAGAUAACGUUAAUGGGUUAAAUAGAUAGUUGUUAGGAGGAAAAGAAUCGGUAGGGAUCAAACAUGCUCCAUGGAACAAAUGCAUAACUGUUUUCCGCUACUGCGAGAAAGUGCGAAUAUGUUAGAUGCUUACUGAUGCAAAGAUUGCUAUGAAUUUGUUGCAUUCGCCAAAGAAAAAAAACAACCGAUGCCCCAUCGAUCGUAUUAUCUUCUAUUUACAAAAUUGGUAUUCAAAUAUGCAAAUCAACAUCUAUAUAAUUUAGAUUAGUUUGGUACAGACAGACUAAAACUUGUGCAAAAAAACAAUUGUAUUGUUAUAAGAACUAUGAUAUAUGCCACAUCAAUUACAUAUAAAAAUGUGAAUAAUAAGUCAAAGUGCUUAAAACCCCAAUAUUCUUUUAAAAGUAAAAUGUGCUUGAAAAAGAAACUCCAAUGUGCAUAGAAAAAUGCAUGACAGAGAACAUGCUCAACAACAAUAGGGAUUUGGUUUAUGGUGCCUCGUAAAUUGGAAAUUUCAACUUUGUAUUUUGGGUAUAGAGCUACCUGGCUUUACGGAGACCGUUCCUCUUUAAUCUGCACUAGAUCACUAUAUAAUAAGCCUUGCAUGGUUAUUGUUCUUUGCAUCAGCGUUUGAGAUCUCUCUUAUUAUACACAAGCACACACAUAGAAACACACAGAUCAAGCACACACUUACAUACACAUGGAUUCAAAUGGAGCGUUCAAUGCGUCUUGUUUCAGCUGCUUUCGUUCUUGUCUUACUUUUGGCCGCUACCGGUAAUUAUACCUCUUUUAUUUAAUAAUUAAAAGAUAGGCAGAUAAUAGUUCAUUUUGUUUCAUCCUCAUAUUUUCAAACUCACAAAGCAAACUUUGAAGUUUAACAUACCUUGCAUGUUCAUCGCCGCAAAAUUCCUCUUGAAGUAGAUCCCAAGCACCCUUGGGUGUCUCUUGAUUCACGAUCCGAGGGAAGAUCUCUUUAGACACAGCGCUCUGAAUGAUUCCCAGUGCAUUAGCGUCUUUCAUAAGUUGAUCAUCCAUGUGAGUAUCAAACUCAUUGUUGUCUUCUUCAUCAUCGUCUGAUGAGGGUGAGUCUUCCUUCUUCUUUGUUUUUCCUCUUUCCUUCUUCUUCUUCUAUUCUGGAGUAACAAUUCCUUUGUCUACCAGUUUCCAAAUCCCAUAUGAUUUGAAAAUGGUGACCAUUCUCACUUUCCAGAAUUCGAACUCCGUUCCAUAAAAAACGGGAGCUCGUAAAUCGUUGCUUCCAAACCCAGUCAUUGUAGCUUGAAUUAGAAUGAAAUCUAGAGAUUUCAUGUUGGAUUAUCUCUCAAAAUUUCACAGAAACCGACGCCCAAUCCGACAUCGAACCUAGGCUUUGGAUACCAUGUUAGAAUCUGUAAAAGUUUGGUAGUAUUUGCAGCAAUUCAAAAUAGAGAGAAAGAACUUAGAGAGAAGAAAAUGAAGAGAUAUAAGGAGAGUGAUCAAAAUCUCAGAAAGAGCCAAUGUGCUCUUCUGUGUGCAUUUUCAUUUUAUCACAACUGAACAAAAAAUAACUAUUACAAAGGGAGAGAAUCUAGGAGAGCCUAUUAGCUCAUCCAUCCCUUCAUUACAAGAACCUAUGAGAUCUUGACAUUUGCUCACAUCUGAGCCUAAUACAUUAAGAGCUAUUCUCAACCCUUGAUUUCUAACAGCUCAUUUCAUAAAGACUAACAACUUGAUAAAAUAAAGAAAAUAACAGUUUAGACCUUAAUCAACCAACAAAACUUUCAUUUUUCUCAAUCUUGUAGUGUCUUUCCUUCUUCGUUAGACUAUUUAUAUUACGUGUUUGCUUAGUUGGAAUAGGGGAAGUUGCGAAUUCGAGAAAGAAAAGAAGGAAUGUGAAUGAGAUUUUCUUUUCUUUUUUGUGAAAAUAAAAUUUACAACAAGAACUCCGUCCUUAAUAAGUUCAUUUGCCACUAAGUUUGCGUUAUUGAACACAUGUCGAAACAAUGACAUUGUUUGUACCAUACUUAAGGCCUCCGUAUUUAGAUCUCGUAUAAAUACUCGGGGGACUUAAAUGUAAUUAUGUAAUAAAGGAAGUGACAAAUAUGUAAUAUGUGAGGAGCCCUUAUUCUAUAAAAGGACCCAUCACUCUCCUCGUUAAGGGAGGCCAAUUCUUAGGCCUGACCACCUUCUCAGAGGCUCUCUCCCUCACAAUCCUCUCAAAGAAAUACAAUAUCAGUGUGGACGUAGCCCAAACAUUGGGGUGAACCACGAUACAUCUUGUGUUAUUUACUUUCUUGCAGAUUCACGGUCAGAUUUACAUUGUUCCAAGACCUCCGGUUUUGUUCAUCAACAUUUGGCGCCAUCUUUGGGAAUCAACACGAAAAGCUAUGUCGGUUCUCUCUCAAAUUUUCAUACCACCACCGUGAAUCUGCAAAAUCACAAAAAUCCAAAAAACCAAAUCUCUCUCUUUCUCCUCUCUCGGUUAGUCAUACACAUAAACCAAAACAAAAAAGAAAUAAAAAAACUCUAAAAGGCUGGUCCUUCUCAAGUGUAAAGACUGAAGAGCCACAAUCAAAUGGAUUCCCAUUCCCAUCUACCCCAACCUCCAUCGUCGCCAUCAUCACCGUCGGCACAUCCACAGCCCUAAAUCCCACCUCCCACAAUUCAUCUGAAAAUACCCAACACUAAUCACAAUUUCCAACAACCAUGAAGGUCAUUUUGGUCAUAGUCUCACUCUUGCUCUUCAACUCCCUCCUCCUCUGCUACUCCAUUGAAGACAACGUCGCAUGCCUCGAGGGCGUCAAGUCAUCGUUCACCGAUCUAGAAGGGCGGCUGAGCCAAUGGGACCUUGCCAACAGGUUGGUGACCUCCAUCUGCAAGCUGGUUGGCGUUACCUGUUGGAAUGAGAAGGAGAAUCGCCUCAUCAGCCUCCAGCUCCCGUCAAUGUAGCUCGUCGGCAAGCUCCUGAAGUCUCUCAAGUUCUACCACAGCCUCCAGAGCUUGGAUCUCUUUGGUAACUCUCUCUCCGGUUCGAUUCCUCCCCAAAUCUGCAACUGGCUUCCAUACCUCGUAACCCUAGAUGUUUCUGGCAACUCUCUCUUCGGUUCGAUCCCGCCGGAGAUCGCCAAUUGUAAGUUCCUCAACACUCUAAUUUUGAACGACAAUCGCCUCUCCGGUACCAUGCUCAAUCUUAGUCGCCAGAUGGCAGCCCUCGAGGGCACAAAGGCCGCCUACUGCACGUCCUCAGGGAUGUCAACCAUAUCCUCCAUCCUGCUCCAGCUCGUCAACAGCGGGGAACACAUCGUAGCCUCAAGAACCGUCUACGGAGGGACCCAUGCCCUCAUGUCUCACUUCUUCCCCAGGGCAUGCAACAUAACGACGACAUUUGUGGACAUCAACGACAUGGACAUGGUGAAGAAUGCUAUUGAGGCUGGGAAGACCAAGGUACUCUAUUUCGAAGGCAUGUCGAACCUAACUCUCAUCGUCGCCAACAUACCGAAGCUCAGCCGUAUCGGCUACGAGAAGGGGGUCAAGAUUGUGGUGGACAACAUAUUUUCUCUCAUGGUUCUAUCUCCGGUGAAACUUGGUGCUGACGUUGUUGUUCACAGCAUUUCCAAGUUUAUUAGCGGUGGUGUUGAUAUUAUUGCAGGUGUUGUGUGCGGACCUGCAAACCUGGUGAACUCAAUGAUGGAUCUACACAAAGGCUCCUUGAUGCUCCUGGGUCCCACAAUGAAUGUCAAUGUGGCAUUUGAGCUCUUUGAGAGGAUUCCCCACCUAGGGUUGAGAAUGAAGGAGCACUACCACAGGGCAAUGGUUUAUGCCUAAAGGAUGAAGAAGAUGUGCGAAAACAAAUUUGAAACUUUGUAUUUUGAUAUGAAUACGGGAGCUAAGAUCCUAUCUGUUGGUCUUGGAACAUGGAAAGCUGAACCAGGCGUGGUCGGUCAAGCUGUCAUCGCAGCAGUCAAGAAUGGCUACAGGCAUAUUGACUAUGCAUCAGUACAGUGUGGCGUCACAACAAUGAUGUUUGGAUCUGCAAUGGUCCUCUUCCCAACUUGAUUGGGUUACAACGAAGAAGAUAAGUUUUUUUAUUAUUAAUCAUAUUAUUAUUGUCUGCCAUCUGCCAAAAGAAAAAAGAGAAAGAACAGGAGUGGGAGAAACAAAAGCAGAAAAGAAAAAGAAAAAGAAAGGCUGCAGAUGAGUAUGUCUGCAGGUGAAAAGAAAAAGCAUGCAUUUAUCCCCCAGAUUCCACCACAAAAGCACAUGGGUAAAGGAUGGGUACCUCAGAUUCAAAGCCACUAAUGCAAUUUGACUCCACCACUAGUCCUACGCACCUCAGAUCCCAUCUCUGCGAAUAACACUGGAAAAGCAAAAGUAGAAAGUAAAAGAGGGAAUUAUAGGCGUGACCCAUUGAGCAGAGGGUCGGAUUUAUUUUUGAAUGAUAUAAAUUUUUUUUCGUAUCUUUCGGAGAUAUCUGUAUAACCCCAUCAGAGGGUAAUAAUAAAAAAAUAAAAAAUAAAAAAUAAAAAAACGGCAAGCUCAAAAUAAUGGGCUGGAAUGUUAUGUGGGGUGCGAAGGCCCAUAUGCCCAAAAGAGCCAGGCCCUUUAUUAUCACCAACCAGGUGAUCAAAAGUACGUCCAGUACUACAAAAAUUAUUCGGCACCCCGCCACUAUUAUCACUAACCAGGUGAUCAAAAGUACGCCCAGUACUCUAAAAAAUUAUUCGGCAGCCUGUCGCUAUUAUCACCAACCAGGUGAUCAAAAGUACGUCCAGUACUCCAAAAUUAUACAUGAGCAUCACUCAUGUCAAUCAUAAAUAAACAUUUCAUGAGCAUCACUCAUGUCAAUCAUACAUAAACAUUUCAUAACCAUCAUUCAUGAGCAUCACUCAUGUCAACAUUCAUGAGCAUCACUCAUGUCAACAUCCAUGAGCAUCACUCAUGUCAAUCAACAUAAACAUUCAUGAGCAUCACUCAUGUCAAUCAGCUUCAAAAGCUUCAUUUACAGAGUUCUAGCUUCAAAAGCUUCAUUUACAGAGCUCUAGCUUCGAAAACUUCAUUUACAAAAGCUCCAGCUUCGAAAGCUUCAUUUACAGAGCUCUAGCUUCAAAAGCCUCAUUUACAGAGCCCUAACUUCAAAGUUUCAACUUGCAAAGCUUCACCUACAAAGCUUCAGUGCAGGGUAUACAAAUACCGCCUCCAAACAACCGCCACUUCGGCCCAUACAUGGAUUCAAUUUGAAGUCUCCAGCCAACAGACUCUAUUGACCGAAGAUUUGGGGGACUACAUUAUGUACCAUAUAUUGGGCCUCAACUGGGUCUCAUAAAAAAUACUUCGGGAACUUAGCCCAUUAUUUAUGUAUUGAGGAGCGAGCCCUUAUUCUAUAAAAGGGACUCCCUCACUUUCAUUAGAGAGCACCCAUUAUUCAUGUAUUGAGGAGCGAGCCCUUAUUCCAUAAAAGGGACUCCCUCACUUUCAUUAGAGAGCACCCAUCACUUAUGUAUUGAGGAGCGAGCCCUUAUUCUAUAAAAGGGACUCCCUCACCUUCAUUAGAGAGCAUCGCCGCCUGCUGAGCAACCGCCUCGCCGCGAGCACCAACUCUAGCCCUUCAUUUUUUGUAUUGAGGAGCGAGCCCUUAUUCUAUAAAAAUGACUCCCUCACCUUUAACGCCACAAGCCGAGCCAACCAAGGCAACAUAAGCCACAAGCAGAGUAGCCUCGCAACAUGUGCUACUUCUAGUUGAGCAUCAUUUUAGAUUGAGCACUGCCUCAUAUCGAGUAUUCAGUUCUAGACAACAUCUAGUUACUUCGCCCACACAUAGACUGAAUUUCAAGUAUCCAGCCAAAAGACUCUCUUGACUGAAGACUUAAGGGACUACUGUUUGUACCAUACUUAGGGCAUCAGUAUUUAGACCUCGUAUAAAUACUCAAGGGACUUAAAUGUAAUUAUGUAAUAAAGGAAUGGCAAAUAUGUAAUAAGUGAGGAGCCAUUAUUCUAUAAAAGGACCUCACUUUCCUCAUUAAGGGAGGCCAAUUCUUAGGCCUGACCCUCACCCUCUCAAAGCCUUACUCUCAUAGGCUCUCUCCCUCACAAUCCUCUAAGAGAAAUACAAUAUCAGUGUGGAUGUAGCCCAAACAUUAGGGUGAACCACGAUACAUCUUGUGUUAUUUACUUUCUUGCAGAUUCACGGUCAGAUUUACGUUGUUCCAAGACCUCUGGUUUUGUGCAUCAACAAACAUAAACCCUUUCAAUACGUUUAGAAGAGCAAAAGUUCUCAAGAAAGGGAAAUGACAAUGAGAUCAACUAGGUGGGUUGAUUUUAGACUUCUCUGCUGUGUCAAUCAUGAAUUUUAAGAUGGUUUUUGCUACGUUUUGGACACCGCUAAUACAAGUUGGGUUGAGGUCUAAAGUUAAGCGGGCAAAUUCUAAAUCAAACAUUGUAAUGAGCAAGUGAUGAUCUAAAGCAAUUACAAAGUCCAAACCUUAACCUUCUCCCUAAGUUUAGCUCACACCCUCACACAUUACAUUUACAUUAAGCAACAACUACAACUUUUAUUCAUUCAUUUAAUUCUUCUUUUUGGGGAAUGAAAAAACAAUUAUAGCUUGAGAAAAUGUGCCAGUAGCAUAUGCUAUAUGCUGGUACACUAAAUGUUACAAUACGAAUUGUUGAAUACUUGGGGAAAAUUUUUCUAAUUGCUUGUAUUAUGACAUUUGGUGUAUCGAACCAUGUUCACAGCACAAUAAAAACAAAUAUUAUUAAAAAGAAAUGAAAAAUGUCAUUUGCAAUCAAAGCAAAUACCAAUUUUACACAUGAACUUGAUCCACCGGCACCGCCUGAUGCAAUUAAUGCUGCAUUGCAUGGCAUCUUCCGAUGGCAUUCUCGUAAAUGUCUCGUCACUGAUAAAUAUCGUAUCACAAAACACCCCCACCAAUUUUGUCAUCAGUGUUAGUCACAGAGAGAGAGAGAGUGAGGAGACAGAGAAAGAAGAAGAAGAUGCCGAGAAGCAGUUUCUCAGGGGCGCUUACAGGGCCGCAAGUCGACGUGGUCAUCGACUUGGGAAACCCCUUGCUCAACCACAUCGUCGAUGGCUUCUUGAAGAUCGGAACCGUACGAUUUUUCAACUUUUCUUUUCUUUCUUUAAAUUAUCUUCAACAUUUUUUUUUAAAAUUUUUUUUUUUUUCGGUUCAGUAUUUCACUUCUGGGUUUUGAUAGUUGCAAUGGCAAGGUUUAGAAUCAAACGGUAUCGUUUUGUUGGUUUGAUUUCAGGUUGCUGCUACCAGAGCUGUUGCAGAGGAUGCUUUCUCUGCGGCCAAGAAAAGUAAUGUUAUUUAUCAUUGCGCUCCAACUGUUUGGUUCCCGAUCGAGAAACACUGAGAAAAUGAGGAGUGGGAAAGUUUUAAAUUUCAUAUGUUGAUCAUAUUGUGCUUGCAGUCUGAUGAUGAUGAUUGUAUUUAUUUGGUUGUUGAAUAAGAUUUUUGGGUUUUACUUUAGUUUUUUUAAUUACAUUUACUAAAAAUGUGAGGUGAUUUUUGCAGGGAGCAUUUCGACUAGCGACUUUAAGCACACUGUAAGUAACCAGCACAGUCCCUUGUUUAAUUAAUUCGGUUUUUCGAUUUUGUGCUUUCUUGUAUGAUCUGAGAUUAGUAGCUACUCUUAACCUUGACAUUGAGCUUGAAAGUACCGAUCUUGCUGGUUUAGGUAGUUUAGUUUGUUUUGUUUUGUUUUGUUUGAUUUGUGAUCGGCCUUUGGUUCCCUUGUAAGCGAAAACAAUAUUAGUAGCUACUUUCAGUUAAUUCAGCAUCUUCAGUUGUUGCUCAGUUGAUUUUGUUUAGUGGGAUCUAUUGCUUUCUGGAGGUCUGUCUUAUACUGUGGUAAUUUGUUGAAGAGGUGAUAGGUUGUUUAUUCAUAGAAGAAAGUUGGGAUGCAACACAAUUUCCGAAUCCUGCUAAUUGCGAGUACUGUUUCUUGCAGUUGAAGAAGAUGUGUAAAGAAGGUGCAUAUUGGGGUAAGUUGAGUCGUAUUUCAUUGUGUGUUAGAUGUAUGUAUGGAUGCGAUUGUGCUCGUCCUCCGGGAAAAUUGCUUCAGCUUCCUCACUUUUGCAAAUUGAGAACAGCAUCAACAAUUUCUUCUAUUGCAUUGACAGGAACUGUAGCUGGACUGUACGUGGGAGCAGAGUAUGGUAUCGAGAGGGUCGGUGGACACAGAGACUGGGUAUACGUCUGUUCGAAUUCUAGAUAGCUAGUUGUACAGUGCCUGUUGGCCGUAAUUUUCUUGCUCAUUCGUCCUAGUUUGCACAUGAAGCUUCUAGAUUUGGGAAAUUGUUUCAGAUUGUCUACUUGCUAAUUUAAAACGCUUAACCUCUAUGUUCCCUAGAUCCUCCCGUUGCCAUGAUUUGUGUAAUUGUUCGUUUUCAGUAUGCGCGGGUUGCUUCUAAAAUUACAUUCAAGCAUACAAUUUCAAGUUCGUUUUUAUUUAAUUUUCAGACUUCGAUUGGAACUUCUGCAUCUGCUCACCCUUUUUCUUCUGAUAUCCUCCAGAAGAAUGCAUUGCUCGGGGGUGCAUUGACAGGGGCUCUAGUAUCUGCAGCCAGCAAAGAGAACAAGGAUAAAGUUCUGGUGGAUGCAAUUACAGGAGGUGCCAUUGCGACCGCUGUGGAAUUCAUCAACUAUCUCACCUGAACAUGGACGUAAUAUUCUACCCGAUCUCUUUGUAGAUCCUGGAGAACUAUGAGUAGGUUUCUCGUGUCAUCUUCCUCAUGAAUUCGUAGAGCAUUGUAUAAAGAAUGUUCAAGGGUUCAUCUAAACUACUGAAGGUUGAUACAAUGAAUUAUGAAUCUUCUGUUUUUAUCAUUCUUGAGCAAUAUGUUCGAUGCUUUUUUUUUUAUUUUUUUAUUUUUGUGACAAAAGAUAACGUUAAUGGGCUAAAUAGAUAGUUGUUAGGAGGAAAAGAAUUGGUACGGAUCAAACAUGCUUCAUGGUGCAAAUGCAUAACUGUUUUCCGCUACUGUGAGAAAGUGCGAAUAUGUUAGAUGCAUACUGAUGCAAAGAUUGCUAUGAAUUUGUUGCAUUCGCCGAAGAAAAAACAACCGAUGCCCCAUCCAUCGUAUUAUCUUCUAUUUACAAAAUUGGUAUUCAAAUAUGCAAAUCCACAUCUAUAUAAUUUAGAUUAGUUUGGUACAGACAGACUAAAACUUGUGCAAAAAAAAACAAUUAUAUUGUUAUAAGAACUAUAUGCCACAUCAUUUACAUAUAAAAAUGUGAAUAAUAAGUCAAAAGUGCUAAAAACCCAGAUAUUCUUUUAAAAGCAAAAGUAAAAUGUGCUUGAAAAAGAAACUCUAAUGUGCAUAGAAAAAUGUAUGACAGAGAACUUGGUCAACAAAAAUAGGGAUUUGGUUUAUGGUGCCUCGUAAGUUGGAAAUUUCAACUUUGUAUUUUGGGUAUGGAGCUACCUGGCUUUACGGAGACAGUUCCUCUUUAAUAUGCACUAGAUCACUAUAUAAUAAGCCUUCCGUGGUUAUUGUUCUUUGCAUCAGCGUCUGAGAUCUGUCUUAUUAUACACAAGCACACACAUAGAAACAAAUAGAUCAAGCGCACACUUACAUACACACAGAUUCAAAUGGAGCGUUCAAUGCGUCUUAUUUCAGCUGCCUUCGUUGUUGUCUUACUUUUGGCCGCUACCGGUAAUUAUACUUCUUUUAUUUAAUAAUUAAAUUUUUAUGAUGUUUCUAAUUAAGCAUCUUAUUCAACAAAAAUAUUUGAUCUUUAGAGAUGGGUCCAAUGGGUAUUGAGGCAAGGGUUGAGUCAAGCAAGGCAGUUGAGGGGAAGAUCUGUGAGGUUCCGUGCACUCUGUUCAAAGGGUUGUGCUUUUCAUCUAACAACUGUAAACACACAUGCAGAAAGGAGCAAUUCACCAGAGGCCAUUGUAGUGUCUUCACCCGUGCUUGCGUGUGCACCAAAAAGUGCUAAUUAAUUAGUUAAAGAAAUGUAAUCUGUGUAGAGACUGUGCUUGUGUAAUGUGAUGGAUUGAUAUGGCCCUGUAUCCACAUGGUUUCUUUUGCUAAUAAAAUGAAUGACCCUGCAUGGAUCAUUACUCAUAUGUCUAGUGUAGUGUUUUCAUCGCGCCUGACGUACUUUUAGUCGCCUAUUAUCUUAUAUGUUUUUCUUGAAGAUUAUGAUUAACAUUCUAGAUAGUCACCACAUACUCUUCUUUUGUUUAUUGACUUUCAAUUAAGAAAGGGUGCAUGAUAAUUAUAGUUAAAUGCUAAUAACAAUAUUUUUCUUUUCCGUUUUGACAAAGCAUUUUGUUGAAAAUUUUUAAGUCACAUUACUUGAAUUUGUGUCACAAAGAUUAUUUAAGUCACAUUGUCGAUUUCAUAUGUCCUUUUUUGUCCACACCUUUUGUUGUAAUAAGUUCUUUUGCCCUUUAAACCAGUAUUAAUAAACGUAACACAAGGUGAGGUUGAUGCACAAGAAAAAAAAUUAGGAAAAGGUUCCAAAUUGCUUAACCAACUUUUAAGCAAAGACUUAAUUAAUUA